GAUGAAGAACGUAGCAAAAUGCGAUACUUGGUGUGAAUUGCAGAAUCCCGUGAGCCAUCGAGUUUUUGAACGCAAGUUGCGCCCGAAGCCCUUUGGCCGAGGGCACGUCUGCCUGGGCGUCACGCAUCGCGUCGCCCCCAACAAAUUCUCCGUCAGGGGAGCUUGUGUUUCGGGGGCGGAUACUGGUCUCCCGUGCUCAUGGCGCGGUUGGCCGAAAUAGGAGUCCCUUCGAUGGACGCACGAACUAGUGGUGGUCGUAAAAACCCUCGUCUUUUGUUUCGUGCCGUUAGUCGCGAGUGAAGCUCUUCAAAAACCCCAGCGCGUCGUCUCUUGACGGCGCUUCGACCGCGACCCCAGGUCAGGCGGGACUACCCGCUGAGUUUAAGCAUAUCAAUAAGCGGAGGA
rnacentral:misc_RNA from 1 species